ensembl:snRNA U6 U6 spliceosomal RNA
GUGCUCGCUUCAGCAGCAUGUAUGCUAAAAUUGGAACAUAAAGAGAAGCAAGAUCAGCAUGGCCCCCGCAAAAGGAUGGUAUGCAAAUAUUUUCCAGCUUUAU